GCUUCCGUAGCUCAACCGGAUAGAGCGCCCGCCUUCUAAGCGGAUGGUUGCAGGUUCGAGUCCUGCCGGAAGCGCCA
rnacentral:tRNA from 4 species